GGGAUUGCCUCAGUAACUGCGAGUGAAGUGGCAAAAGCUCAAAUUUGAAAUCCGGUACCAGUGGUGCCUGAGUUGUAAUUUGGAGAGGCAAAUUUUGUUGAUGGCACCGGUCUAGGUUCCUUGGAACAGGACAACAUAGAGGGUGAGAAUCCCGUACCUGGCUGGACCGCUAUCGCUCUGAUAAAUUGUCUUCGACGAGUCGAGUUGUUUGGGAAUGCAGCUCAAAAUGGGUGGUAAAUGUCAUCUAAAGCUAAAUAUUGGCGAGAGACCGAUAGCGCACAAGUAGAGUGAUCGAAAGAUGAAAAGCACUUUGAAAAGAGAGUCAAAAAGUACGUGAAAUUGCUGAAAGGGAAGCGCUUGAGACCAGACUCGAGCCGUGGUGAUCAGCCGUGCUUCUGGACGGUGCCACUCGCCACGGUUUGGGCCAGCAUCGGUUCUGGCGGCCGGAUAAAAGGUGGGGGAAUGUAGCUUCCUUCGGGGAGUGUUAUAGCCCUCAUCACAAUGCGGCCAGCUGGGACUGAGGACCGCGCUUCAGGCUAGGA
rnacentral:rRNA from 1 species